GUCCACGCCCUAAACGAUGCAUAUUUGGUGUAGGUCAUUCAGUUGAUCUGUGCCGGAGCUAACGCGUUAAAUAUGCCGCCUGGGGAGUACAGUCGCAAGGCCGAAACUCAAAGGAAUUGACGGGGCCCGCACAAGCGGUGGAGCAUGUGGUUCAAUUCGACGCAACGCGAAGAACCUUACCUGGGCUCGAACGGCUUCUUAACGGAGGUGGAAACACCUCUAUCCCGCAAGGGAGUGGAGUCGAGGUGCUGCAUGGCUGUCGU
rnacentral:rRNA from 1 species